AAGUCGUAACAAGGUUUCCGUAGGUGAACCUGCGGAAGGAUCAUUAACACUUACCUGUGCUUUUGCAAAACAAACACUCAGUGUUUAUUUUACAUUUCACAUGUAUUACACCAAAACCGUGCUCCCUUUUUUUUCCCACACCUCUUAACCCCUACUUAUAUAAAUUUAAAACUCUAACAGAUAUAUAUAUAUAUAAAAAAACUGUGGAAACACAUUUUUUUUUGUAUGUUUAUAUCAGUUAAAACUAUUUAAUAGUUGUUAUACAACUGUUAACAAUGGAUAUCUUGGCUCUC
rnacentral:misc_RNA from 1 species